UUAAGUUCAGCGGGUAGUCCUACCUGAUUUGAGGUCAAAUUUGUCAAUCCCAACUCGUCAGAAGAAGCAGCACGGUGAGGGGCAAGGCAUAGAUUUUAUUUAUCACACCUGUAGUCCACACAGAUACCACUGAUACAUUUCAGAGGAGCCGACUUUAAAAAGCCUGCAAACCCCCAUAUCCAAAAUUCCACAUGACAAGC
rnacentral:misc_RNA from 1 species